UCCAGCAGCUCCUUUCUACCCGUGCAGUAGCAGCACCCGUUAGAAAACUCGAGACUCAGAUCACGCCUGGCGGAGUCUUCCACGGAGGAAACAUCUUUGGUCAGCUUGGUGCUCGCAGGACGCUGGCACCCCAGGGCCUGGGGCCUGCCCACAAAGGCAGAAGCUGCUUCUGGAGUCAAAGUGGAAAAUCUCACCGGCGCGGCCACACGGGCUAGAGCGCAGGCUUCCACCUGCCCACCGGCACACAAAGAAGCCAUUUCCGUUUCUCAGGAGGCCAGGCGGCCUGGCAUCACCAGUUGGCAGCUGCUAACUGAGCGGGGGCCCACCGUUGAGGAAGUAGGUCAUCAUCUCGCCUUUGCCCUUGACCUUGACCACACCCCUGCACUCCAGCUGGUACGUGUUGGCAGCCAACACCUGGUACAUGUCCGUGGUGACCUGAGGAGGCAAUGGAGAGGUUCAGAUCCCUGAACUGCCUGUCGUCGUCCACAAUGACAGGUGCACCCUGUAGCAAUCUCACGCUGCUGCCAUCGAUCCUGAGCAUGUGACCAGCGUGCUCACCCAAGUCUCACUCCACGGCAGCUAGAUUAAAUGGGAUAAGCAGUGGCCCUCAAACGCAGAGGGAAGUCCUAUUAUCUCAGGCUCACAAAACCUGAGUCCCUUCCCUAGGGUUUCACAGCUAACCAAUGGCAGAGCCCGCAUCCAGGUCUGUGUCCUACUGCCCAUCUGCUUCAGCUUUUGGAACAAAGAGGGGGACUGAGCAGUGGCCUCGGUAAUCACCGCACUACUGCUGGGUGAAGGAGAAAGCAGCUAUACAAGCGCGAAUCUCACGAGGGGAGCUCCUUGAGCACAUCCCACAGUACCGCUGAGGCUCCUGGCCCUUCCUGGCUGUCAGGCGGGGGGAGAAGGCCCGGGAAUCUCUGGGUGGGCUACUGGAAGGUGACCCUGCUGCGGUACCAUGCGUAUUCCAGGAAUGGGAAAGCCCUCUGCAAAGCUGAGGUGGAGGCCACUGUGUGGUUGCACAGAGUCCUUCACUUGGCUGUGGGUGGGGUCAGAAGCUCUGCAAAUGCACGUGCCUCUCUCCCCAUCUCCCGUCUUGUCCCUUCUCCCCUUGGCACAGGGAUGCAGGUGGGAGAAAGCAGUUUGCUCAGGUCACUCCAACAGCACCUACAUGCCAGCCAGGCGGGGCUGAUCUGGCCAGAGCUAUGCUUGGGCCGACUCUUUGUUCAUAGGUCCCACGGGAGAGGGAAUCUAAGGGACAUUUGAGCAGCGUCAGUGUGAGCAAAGAAAGGGGCAUGCAAGAGAGCACAGUUCAAAAGUGGGGACACUGAGGCCAGGGAAGCUAAGUGACCUGCCCACAGCCUUGUGGGGCACUGGGGGCUGGAGGGUACAGGAAGGGAGCCCAGUCCAGGGCCUCACUCUUGUCAGACUGGAGCAGAGGGAAUCAAGGAAGGCCUGGGACUCAAGUGCCAGCUUGCAAAGGAUAGAGAAGAGAAAUCUCUGGGCCUCUGGCCAGGCCCCUUGGCUGUUGGUGGCACCAUCCCAGGGACCAGUGGCCUUGCCUGGUUCCCCUGAAAUAGGCCCUGAGUGCCGUGGGCUCCAUGUGGCAGGACCUUGCCCCCCCCCCCAUAAUCUUUGUGUCCUGCUGCGUUAGCCGGGACCCCUCAAUUCCUUCUGCGGCCAGUAGAGGGCUCUGCGCGGGCUGGAGCUCUGUCCAAGGUGCUGAGGGCUGGAAACACACUUGGGGUUCCAGGGACCAGCGGGCGGCCUGCCCCCAAGACCAUGCGGCACAGCCUCAGGCCCGCCAGGUGGGCCCCAGCCCUCACCUGGAUGCGGUCCGGCACGCCGGUGCUGUCCAUGCGGCUGGCCACAUUCACCGUAUUGCCCCAGAUGUCGUACUGAGGCUUGCGAGCCCCGAUCACCCCGGCCACCACGGGGCCGAUGUUGAGCCCUGCAGGGGACAGAAGUCGGCACGUUCUCUUCGGGGCUCAGACCAGCGCUCGCCCUCACUCUCAUCCCUCCCGCGAUGCCCAGCGGGUUCCUCUUGGCCUGAAGACAGCCAGGAGCCUCUAAGGGCCUGACGUCAGGCUUGGCCCCGCAGCUCCCGCCCCGCCAAGCCAGACCACAGAGGCCUGUUCACGCAGCACCGCUCCUGUACGCGUGCCACCCAGGUGGCCGCUGCCAGUCCAUCAGCAGGACCACCCUCUUCGAGCACCCGGGGACUUGCCACAUCAUCCGGUUGCCUUUCCAUAAUCCUCCUUCUCAGGGGCAUUUCAGUUUUCACUGCCAGUUCAGGCUCCGCGUACCAGAGCCCCCCCUUCUCUUCCUCCUCACCUCUGCUGCUGCUUUCAGGGGCACUACCAUGGUGGCUCCUCCUAACCCACGGUCUCUUCCGUGUCCAAGUGGGCCUCCCCCGGGCGUCUGAGCUAGGGCGGGCCGGGAUGUCGCCAGGGCCCAGCUCCAGAAGCAAGGCUGCUGCCCUCCACGUGGGCUCCCUGUCUCACUCCUGGCAAUUUGCUCUAAUCUCCCCGACGUCCUCCCAGUCUUACCCACACCAACCCCGAUCACCCUGCCACCCAGCAUCCACUGUGCUGGUUCCCCCACCUCAAGCGUCCUCCCUCCUCCCCAGGCAAGAACCUUCCCCAGCACACCUGGCUUAGCUGACGUGGUCUAGACAGUUCCUGCCACGUCUCCAAGCCCCUGGGCACUCCUCCCUCUCGCCCCAGAAACUCUCACCCGGGGCUGCAUCAAGCCUCACCGUUGCAUGAGAGGGAGGACUACAAACAUAGACCCUUCCCUCCACAGCCCUCCUCCUCGGUCCUGCCAGGCCACAUGCGGCUUUUUACCCCACCUGCUGACCCCAGGCUGGACUGGCCGGAAGCCAAGCUCACCGAUCUUCAUCUGGAAGUUGUUGAAGGAGUGCUCAUUGAUGUACUUCAUUUGGUCCAUGAGCUUCAUGGCAAAGUCAGCCAGGGCUUUGAUGUGGGUCUUGCCCACCUUGUCGUAUGUAGAGUCAUUGAGGCCUGAGGCGGCCAUGUAGGUGCUGCCAAUGGUCUUGAUCUUCUCCAGCUGCCUGAACCGAUCCUCGCUGAUGAUCUGGAUGGAAGGAGGCCAAACCUGGGUCACCGCCAAGGCUGGGGCACUGAGGUCUGCAGGGAAGGGCAGCAGCAUGGCCCCUCAUACCCCCUCGGUUCACACAGGGGGCCCGUCUCCAUGCCAACGUGUGAGCCUGACAAAGCAGACCUCCCAGGGACACGCCCUCAUCUUUGUCCAGAGAGACACCCUUCUUCUACCUCCAGGCCCAGCCAGAAGCCUGCCCAGACCCACUUCAGCCAAGGACUUUGCAUCAUUGUCCUUCUUCCUCCCUUGGCCUUGGAGGUCCUCCUUCCUUGGACUCUUUCGAAAGCCAGGCCCCGACCCAGCGCAUGCCCAGCCCCAGGUGGCAAGAGAGAAACAGCAGCGAAUGGGGAGGACUGGCGGGAUAGCCGGCCAGGGUCUCAGAAGCCCCCUCUGUCACCUACCGGCCGCGACCUUGGCCGAGCCACGUCUGUGGACCUGUUUCGUCCUUUGUAGGAGGCCAGGGGCCUGUCCUCGGGUGCCCUGGCGUCCCUCCUGCUCCAGGGACCCACGCGCCCCCCACUCCCCAGCCGCACCUCAUCAAAGUCAGCGAUGAUCUCAUUGAGCAGCCGCAGGCACUCGACACCCUCAUUGUUGGCCUCAAGCUCCACGUAGAACUCGGAGAAGUUGGCGAUGGAGGCGAACAUGACAGCCACGCACUCGCACGACUGGUAGUAGAGCUCGUCGUUGCGUCGCUCGCGGGCCAGGAAGUGGGCAGCCACGUCCUUGGGCAGGAUGUUGUGCAGCAGCCGCCGGUUGUAGGCCUGCAGCUCCUCCAUCUCCUCCUUCUCCUCCGUGGCCUAGGACACGGCACCGGUCGGAGGGAGGGGUGUACAGGCCGCCGCCCCGGGCCCCCCCACUCCUCCCCACCUCCCACUCUCUGCGAGGAGCAGUGACAGCAGGAAAGCGACAGGCGUGUUCGCACCCACUGGGCCUGGCCGCCCCUCAGAACACGACACGCGGGAGGGUGCUGGACUCAGGGCCUGGAGGAGAGGCCGAGCGCAGCCUGUCUGCGCAGAGCUAGGCCGACACGGCGGCUCCGGGGCUGGUCCCAGACCGCACCGCCAGUGGCCCUCCGGCGACCAAGCGCUCCCCCGCUGUCCCUUUCCCUCUUCCUAUCAGGGAGCGCCGUUUGAGGAGGGUCCCUCCUGCAGACUGACCCAAAGCCCUGCCGCUCCCCCUGGUUCCCCCAAGGGCGGGCAUGCCCCAGGGCCAGGAGGUGCAGAUGCCCCAAAGGGCCACCUGGGGCGGGAUGGGGACGUCACCACUGAUUUUUGUUCUCCCCCACUUUCUUGGGUCUGGGAAAUCAGGGUUUGUGGUCACUCACCCUCCAGGUUAAAGGGACAGUGCAGAGCUCUGGAAUCAAGUGGCCAAGAGUGGCUCAGGCUGAAGCGCGGAGGUGCAGGAGCCACCUGACCAGAGUUCAUGGGACACAGGAGGUACAGAGGGCAGUCUGCUGGCUUCCUCCCCCUGAGGGCAAGCCAAGUGGCCCCUUUAACGGAGAGUGACCAUGUUGGCAAACAGGCGGGUAAGGACCACUGUGGGGCCGCUGCAAAGGUCUCGCCAGCCCUCUUGGACCCGCCCUAACUCAACGUGGAGGCCUGUCUGUCCGGCUGCAACAGGACCUCCACCAGGGCCGGGGCUACUUCCCGGCUCUCCCGGUGGGUGGCAGCUGCUUUAGGGAAACUGCCAGUACCCCUGCCCGAGGCCACGGGACCUGGGUCUAGCAGGAACAAAAGUCAGGGACCCCAAGGCUCAGAGGCCCAGCCUAGCCUUGCACCCGAGCUGACGGCACCACAGUCCAUCGCUCCUACGGUCACUGGAAACAUGGCUUCGAGAAUGGGGGUCGCGCCUAUGGAAGUUCCUGGGCCCUGGGACGCCAGGUGGGCCCAGCAGGCAUGUGCUAUCUUCCAACCCACAUGACCUCUGCUUCCGGGAGGCUCCCUCGGGCCACCCCCUCUUCAUCACCUGGGGCCACCGCCCCGAGCUCUGAGAUGGGUGUGCAGGAGGGAACAGGCUGAGUGGGAAUCCCCCACUGGAGGGCUGCUCCCUGGACGAGCCCCGGCUGGUCCAUCUGCCCCUGGAGAUGCACGGGCUGCCCACGGUCCUGCUGCCUGCUGAGACCACAGCCCGGGACCCAGGAGCCCGCCAGCUCCUCUGAUCAGCCCAGCAGGUGGCCGUGGAGGCUGGGGUUGGACAGUGGGAGCAGGGCUACUGCUGGGAACACAGGCGAAGACCUGCCCAGAACUCUGAGCACGCUGCCCUGAGACAUGAUGCUGGGCCGCUCCCCACGCAGCCAGCUGCUUCUAGGACUGGGCUCAGGCCGGGCAGGAGGGCCCAGGGGUCCAAAGCCCCCUGCUGAUCCUAAUGAGGUCACUGCCCUGGGGGACGGACAAGAGUCGGCUCUCGCGACAGCGGAGACCCAGCGGUCUGGCCAGGAGCAGGCCCGAUCCUUCGUGCAGGUGCUUCAGGGAAGCUAAGGACCUCAGGCCCCCCGCCUCCCUGUCGCCCUGGAGGACGGGACAGGGAGGGACAGGUAAGCAUCACAAGCCCGCGGCUGGGGCUCAGGGGAGAGAGACCGACGCACCUGGCAGGUAGGGAUGUGCUCACCCUUCCUACCUGUGUGCAGGGGCCUCUGUUGCCUGGGCACCGGGUGGGGGUGGUGAGGGAGCCCCCGGCUGUUCUGCUCAGCCCCGGCCGGCAGCCUCUCACUGACCCUGUGCAUUCAGGGGCUGGACAGAGACCUGGCGUGGGGGGGACAGGUCCCCAAGACAGGCUGAGUGGCAGCCUCAGCCUUCCCUUGCUUCUGCCCGUUUCUCGAGGUCUCUGCAACACAACUUAGCUGCCCAUCAGCAACCGUCUUGGGGGCCGGGGACUCCCUGGGGCUUCCGUGGGAGGUGGGGGGGUGUGCGGAGGGUGUGUGCACACGCGCAUGGAGAAGUGGGGGGACGUCAGCCCCGGGUCCCGCGGAGCCUGGUCAGCCCUUAGGAGAGAGCUGGAGCCGCGGGGGAGCCUCCCCAAAGGAGAGGGCGUGAGAGAGCCAAGAGGAGGCAGGGAGGCAGCAAUGGGAGCUCAGGAGGUGGGCCUCUCGCACGCCGCCCCCCCCCCCCCCGGCAUUCCGGCGCACAGAGCUUCGUCGAGCCCCCGUGGGGGACCGCAGUGGGCAGCGGGGCUGCUGGAUGCCCCCACCCGUAACCGAACUCGGGGCCUCCCGCGCCAGCCUGAAGACUUAAUAAUCUCAGCGUUAGCAGGCAGCUGAGGAUGGAGGCGGCCCGCGUGGGUUGCGGGUGAGCUGGAGGCCGAGGCUGCCCCCGGGGAGACGGCCUGCUCGCCGUGCGUGCCCUCGGGCACCCUCUGGACCUUCUGAGCCCCCGGUAGGUAACAAGCACCCCACUGCCCCGGCCACCUCUCCCCAGGGCCGGGCGAGCCACCAUCUGGGUUUCCAUCCUCCCCUGGAAGAUUCACGCCGAGUUGUGGCCCCAUAAGCCCCGCUCAGAGGCCUGCUGGGCCAGCUCCUGCACUGCAGCCUCGUGACACGGUGACAUGGGCAGUGCGCACCCCGCCCUCCUCCCCUCCUGCCCCCCGCCCCGGCUCUGGAUGUGCCCACUAACGCCUGGCCAGUGUCUGUGACUUCACAGCGGGUCCCUGGGGCCCAUCAAAGUCCCAGCACUGUCAGGGGGGGUUGGACUGGAAUAAGCUCUGGGGUUUUGCCUCUUGGCUCCAGGGAGCAGGGAGCGGACCUGCUGGGACACGGGGCGCCGGCUGGUGGGGAUGAGGCCUGAGCGGGACACCCCAGCAGUGCCCAGCCCGCCCAGGGGGUGAACGUGCUCACGUGCUCACGCCUCCCCAGCCCCGCCCCGGGCCGCCCACCUGCAGUUUCCAGAGGAAGUCCAGGCGGGCGGUGGACUCCACUUGCUGGGCAUGCAGGUACAGGGCCAGCACGAAGACGGAGAUGAUGAUGGGCGUCACCACCUUCAGCGCCACCUUGGUCGCGUGCUCAGGGCUGCAGGGGGCGGCAGAUGCCCUGGCACUGCAGGCAGGUCCCAGCGCCCUGGGGCCUUUCUCUUCCUCCCGCUACGCCCCCUCUCCUCAGCCUCCUGCUCAUUCUGCCCAAGGCAGUGCCUCUCCCGGGAAGCCUUCCCGGCCCGCAGCCCGUCGCAGCGCCCGCUCGCACCCGGUGCCCUCCUCUCCCCGUGUCACUGGGAACCUUCCCUCUGGUCUCAUAGGGGGAUCGGUGAGGCCCUUGUAAAAGGCCGUGUCCAUCCCAGGUCUCUCCCAGUAGACAUGACGGGGGCCCUGCGCCCAGCAGGGAGCUUACUCCAGGUGCUCUCUCCCCCUCCCUCUGCUCCUCCCCUCACCCCCCUACCAGUUCUCUCUAAGCAGCAAUAAAAGGUCGCUGUCCCAAACCCUGCUCCCAGUCCCCAGGAAAGAGCCUGGACCUUGAGGGCUGCACAGCCUCGCUGCCCGGCAGCAGCCCAGCGCCGAGCUUACCCUGCGAAGCCCCCAGGCCUCGCCCGGCUCCUUCUCCCAGAGGGAGGGCGGCUGGGUGAGGGGGUCCCCGCCUUCCCUUCUCCUGUGCCCCAGCGCCCACCUGCUCCCGGGGAGAGCCUGAGGCCAGACGCUUUCAGAUGACGCCCGUACAACGGCCCGCGGGCCCUGCAGGCCCAGCUGCUGAGCCUGCAGGGCAUUGUGCAGCAGUGGGGACCACCCAGGGGGAGAAGGGCCUCCACCAGUUAGACCCCUUGGGACCCUUGGGGUGUUUUGCCCCCUGCCCCCCCCGCCCCCCAGGCUGCUGGCCGCCAAGGCCCAGAGUGCUGAUUCGGACAACUCGGGGGCAUGCACUCACCACUGCGAGGUCCCGUUGUUGUUGUUGAAGUCUCUGUGGACAGGAACGGGGAGGGCUGUUUGGGGCUGCCCUCUGCAUGCGCCCCCACCCGCCCAGCUCUGCUGCCCCCACUCCUGGACCCCUGCAGCACCCCCAGCACCCCUUGGGAUCCACCAAUACCUUCAGGAUGGGAGGCUUGCAGAAAGACCAGCCCCCCCCCGGCCACCAAGACUGCAAAUCAGGGCAAGGGGGUCCCCCUUCCCUGAGACCGGGGGGCCCCCCAGCACCCCUGCCCCGGGGUAGAAGCCAGCCCGCCUCCUGCCCUAGCACCGUGCUGCCUCCGGAGGCAGCGAGACACCGUGCUGCCCAGUGCGGUGGCCGCAGCCACGUGUGGCUCCUGAGCCUUCGCACGUGACUGGUGCAAGUUAAAACGUCCCGUGGUGUCUAACAGAUACCAGGUUUUGAAGUAAUCAGUGUGGGGGAAAAAUGUAAUGUGUUUCAUUAAUGAUUUUAUAUUGACUGCAAAUUAAUAUUGUGAAUGUGUUGGUUAAACAAAAAUAUUAAAAAUGCAUGUUUUGCCUUUCUAAUAUAGCCACUAGAAAAUUUUUGAAUUACACGCGUGCCUCGCAUUAUGUAUCUCCUG